UACGUAGGGUGCGAGCGUUAAUCGGAAUUACUGGGCGUAAAGCGUGCGCAGGCGGUUUCGUAGACAGAUGUGAAAUCCCCGGGCUUAACCUGGGAACUGCAUUUGUGACUGCGAGACUAGAGUGUAGCAGAGGGGGGUAGAAUUCCACGUGUAGCAGUGAAAUGCGUAGAUAUGUGGAGGAAUACCGAUGGCGAAGGCAGCCCCCUGGGCUAACACUGACGCUCAUGCACGAAAGCGUGGGGAGCAAACAGG
rnacentral:rRNA from 1 species